rnacentral:rRNA from 1 species
UAUUGCACAAUGGGUGAAACCCUGAUGCAGCGACGCCGCGUGAGUGAGGAAGUAUUUCGGUAUGUAAAGCUCUAUCAGCAGGGAAGAAAAUUACGGUACCUGACUAAGAAGCCCCGGCUAACUACGUGCCAGCAGCCGCGGUAAUACGUAGGGGGCAAGCGUUAUCCGGAUUUACUGGGGGUAAAGGGAGCGUAGACGGAAUUGCAAGUCUGAUGUGAAAAUCCGAGGCGCAACCCCGGAACUGCAUUGGAAACUGUAUUUCUAGAGUGUCGGAGAGGCAAGUGGAAUUCCUGGUGUAGCGGUGAAAUGCGUAGAUAUCAGGAGGAACACCAGUGGCGAAGGCGGCUUGCUGGACGAUGACUGACGUUGAGGCUCGAAAGUGUGGGUAUCAAACAG